rnacentral:tRNA from 1 species
GCCUGAGUCGCAUAAUGGUAUUGCAACGGAUUGCUAAUCCGUGCCCUUCGGGGUUCGCAGGUUCGAUUCCUGCCUCAGGCG